rnacentral:rRNA from 1 species
CAGUCGCCGCGGGAAUACAGAGGGUGCGAGCGUUAAUCGGAUUACUGGGCGUAAAGCGUGCGUAGGCGGCUUCUUAAGUCGGAUGUGAAAUCCCUGAGCUUAACUUAGGAAUUGCAUUCGAUACUGGGAAGCUAGAGUAUGGGAGAGGAUGGUAGAAUUCCAGGUGUAGCGGUGAAAUGCGUAGAGAUCUGGAGGAAUACCGAUGGCGAAGGCAGCCAUCUGGCCUAAUACUGACGCUGAGGUACGAAAGCAUGGGGAGCAAACAGGAUUAGAUACCCCUGAGUCCCUGUCUCUUAUACAC